rnacentral:rRNA from 1 species
GACGAACGCUGGCGGCGUGCUUAACACAUGCAAGUCGAGCGGUAAGGCACUUCGGUGUACACGAGCGGCGAACGGGUGAGUAACACGUGAGUAAUCUGCCCUUCACUUUGGGAUAAGCCCCCGGAAACGGGGUCUAAUACCGAAUACGACAGUCACCCGCAUGGGUUGGUUGUGGAAAGCUUUUCGGUGGGGGAUGUGCUCGCGGCCUAUCAGCUUGUUGGUGGGGUAAUGGCCUACCAAGGCUCGACGGGUAGCCGGCCUGAGAGGGUGACCGGCCACACUGGGACUGAGACACGGCCCAGACUCCUACGGGAGGCAGCAGGUGGGGAAUA